rnacentral:rRNA from 1 species
CCUACGGGAGGCUGCAGUGGGGGAUAUUGGUCAAUGGGGGGAACCCUGAACCAGCGACACCGCGUGAGGGAAGAAGGUUUUCGGAUUGUAAACCUCUGUCUUCGGGGAAGAUAAUGACGGUACCCGAGGAGGAAGCCACGGCUAACUACGUGCCAGCAGCCGCGGUAAUACGUAGGUGGCAAGCGUUGUCCGGAAUUACUGGGUGUAAAGGGAGCGUAGGCGGGAAGGCAAGUUGAAUGUUAAAUCUAUCGGCUCAACCGAUAGCCGCGUUCAAAACUGUCUUUCUUGAGUGAAGUAGAGGCAAGCAGAAUUCCUAGUGUAGCGGUGAGAUGCGUAGAGAUUAGGAGGAAUACCAGUGGCGAAGGCGGCUUGCUGGGCUUUUACUGACGCUGAGGCUCGAAAGUGUGGGGAGCAAACAGGAUUAGAUACCCGAGUAGUC